UACGAGGGGUGCAAGCGUUGCUCGGAAUUAUUGGGCGUAAAGGGUAGGUAGGUGGUCUCAUUUGUCUGGGGUGAAAUCCUUGAGCUUAACUCAAGAAGUGCCUUAGAAACGGUGAGACUGGAGUACUGGAGAGGGUCGUGGAAUUCCCGGUGUAGCGGUGAAAUGCGUAGAGAUCGGGAGGAACACCAGCGGCGAAGGCGGCGACCUGGACAGUAACUGACACUCAACUACGAAAGCGUGGGGAGCAAACAGG
rnacentral:rRNA from 1 species